GUGAAUCAUCAAAUUUUUGAACGCAAAUUGCACUCCCUGCGGAGAGGGUGCCUGUUUGAGGGUGAGCCUAAAAAAAAUCGACAUAGUUGCUGUUUCGUGGUGUCAUUCGUCGGAAAGUGGGUCAUGUUAAACCUUUGAGUUUUUUAAGCGGCUUAGAAUUUUCUUUACGAUUCCACGAACGUUUCUAGGAUUUGACUUCUUAAACAAGUUUAAGGUAUAGAUCUUUAUUAACCGUGGACGUUACGU
rnacentral:misc_RNA from 1 species